GUAUAUAUUAUAUCAUCUUUAAUUUUGCCAUGUAUGGUUUUGAUUUGGACGAAAUUAAAAUUCAGUGUAUUUAUAUCACAACUUUAUAUAGUUGAAAAAAUACCAAAAUUCACUAAUAAUUUGUGGAUUUACAGUCAAUUAACGCCUCAAAAAAUAUGUUGUGAAAUUCAAAUCAGUAAAAAGUAAUUAAAAGUUCCAAAAACCCUUUCAAGACUAAUAGAAAAUUUGGAAGAAAAAUAUCUAUAUAUUUUGGUGGAAAUUUUAAAUAGAUAAUAAUAAUCUUUAGAUAAAAAGGUUUUGUCAAGAUCUUAGUCAAUUAUUUGAUAAGCCUCAAACUAUAAAAUGGUUUCAUCUUCAUUUUAAUGUUGCUAUCCUUAUUAGAGCUAUUUUAUAUAUAAAUAUAAGUAAUUUAUAGAAUUUUAUUUUCUAAAUAUAAUAUUCUAAAAAUAUAAUUUUUUUACUAUUUUAAUUAAAUAGGUAUCACUAUGCAUCGCACGAGAAUAAUACUAAUAUUAUCUCAUGCACUGUCAAAAUCACUGUCCAAAUCUUUUUCUUUUAUCAUGAUACUCCCCCGUCCCACGAAUCUUGACACGUUUUCAGAUAAGGAAAUGGAGUAGGAAAAGGAGGUGCAAGUGCAAAUCCCACACGAGGUCAAAUGCCUAUUACUGGAUACAAUUAUUCAAGCUCCCACCACAAUUCGAUCGGAGCUUUGUUCACCUCUCUCUUGUGUCGAAGGAUUGGAAUGAGUGUUUAAUAGACGACAAGUUUAACUCUGAUCGAAAAAGGAAUUUUUAAAGUGGGUUAACUUGGUCAUGCAAGUCAACCGUCUGUAUCCAAAAAUGAAGGACGUAUCCGGUCUGCAGCUAGUGCUAUUUAUAUGCCAUUAUUCUCAAUGCAAAGGCUCAAAAUUGCACUCGUUCCUAUGUAGUUGGUGGCAUUCUCCCCAUAUUUUUCACAGGAAAGCAAUGGCAUCCAAAAAUAUUUUGCAGCGUGGAUCGAUCUUAAUUCUUGUGUCGAAGGAUUGGAAUGAGUGUUUAAUAGGCGACAAGUUUAACUCUGAUCGGAAAAAGGAAUUUUUAAAGUGGGUUAACUUGGUCACGUAAGUCAACCGUCUGUAUCCAAAAAUGAAGGACGUACUCCGUACCCAAAAAUCCAUCAAUCGUGAGUAUACGUCGGUCCUUGUUUUUCCUUUGAAUUUUCUCAGGUAAGGUUUUGAUGAGGCCCCGCUCAUUAGUUCGCGAUCUGUGCUAAUAAUGAGUUCUUUUAGGUUUUUUUCUUCAAUGAAUUUCAUUCUAGUAUUGCCAUUCUAGUUUUAGAGUAGUUUUGUUUUUUUUUUUUUGUGUGCUAUAAUGUGUACUGUGUGUUGUGGUUUCAUUACUAGGAUUUUUUUUAUGUCAAAUUGUCAAUUAUAUAGACUUGGUUUUGUGUUGAAACAUCGAGGAUCCAAGCAACGAUCUCGUCUUCUAUUA